rnacentral:rRNA from 1 species
UGGGGAAUAUUGCACAAUGGGCGAAAGCCUGAUGCAGCAACGCCGCGUGAGUGAUGAAGGCCUUCGGGUUGUAAAGCUCUGUCUUUUGGGACGAUAAUGACGGUACCAAAGGAGGAAGCCACGGCUAACUACGUGCCAGCAGCCGCGGUAAUACGUAGGUGGCAAGCGUUGUCCGGAUUUACUGGGCGUAAAGGAUGCGUAGGCGGAUUUUUAAGUGAGAUGUGAAAUACCCGGGCUUAACUUGGGUGCUGCAUUUCAAACUGGGAAUCUAGAGUGCGGGAGAGGAGAAUGGAAUUCCUAGUGUAGCGGUGAAAUGCGUAGAGAUUAGGAAGAACACCAGUGGCGAAGGCGAUUCUCUGGACCGUAACUGACGCUGAGGCAUGAAAGCGUGGGUAGCAAACAGGAUUAGAUACCCUGGUAGUCCACGCCGUAAACGAUGAGUACUAGGUGUAGGAGGUAUCGACCCCUUCUGUGCCGCAGUUAACACAAUAAGUACUCCGCCUGGGAAGUACGAUCGCAAGAUUAAAAACCUUAAAGGAAUUUGACGGGGGUCAUAGCUGUUUUCCU